AAUUAAGUCUGUUCAAAUUUCGCCUGUUUUUCAAAAACAUGUCUUUUUGUUUAAAAUUUAAAGUCUAGCCUGCCCAAUGAAGUUUAAAUGGCCGCGAUAUUUUGAUCGUGCUAAGGUAGCAUAAUCAUUAGUUUUUUAAUUGAAAGCUGGAAUGAAGGGUUGGAUGAAAAAAUAACUUUUUUAGUUUAAUUUUAUUAAAAUUUUAUUUUUAAGUAAAAAAGUUUAAAUGUAAUUAAAAGACGAGAAGACCCUAUAAAGUUUUAUAAAUAUUUUAAAAUAUUUUUUUAGAAUUAAUUUUUUAUUUUGAAAUGUUUAUUUGGUUGGGGUGAUUAAAAAAUUUAAUUAACUUUUUUUAUAUUUUUAUAUAAAUUUAUAAAUUUAUGAUCCAAUAUUAUUGAUUAUAAGAUAAAAUUACUUUAGGGAUAACAGCGUAAUUUUAUUAGAAAGUUCAUAUUGAUAAUAAAGAUUGCGACCUCGAUGUUGGAUUAAAAUUUCUAUUUGGUGUAGUGGCUAAAUAAUUAAGUCUGUUCGACUUUUAAAAUUUUACAUGAUCUGAUUUCAACCGGGAAUUUUUAAUUUAAAAGUCUAGC
rnacentral:rRNA from 1 species